rnacentral:rRNA from 1 species
AUUGAACGCUGGCGGCAGGCCUAACACAUGCAAGUCGAGCGGAGCGGCGGACGGGGGAGUAAUGCCUAGGAAUCUGCCUGGUAGUGGGGGAUAACGUCCGGAAACGGGCGCUAAUACUGCAUACUCUCAGAUGAGCCUAGGCGGGAUUAGCUAGUUGGUGGGGUAAAGGCUUACCUAGGCGACGAUCCGUAACUGGUCUGAGAGGAUGAUCAGUCACACUGGAACUGAGACACGGUCCAGACUCCUACGGGAGGCAGCAGUGGGGAAUAUUGGACAAUGGGCGAAAGCCUGAUGCAGCCAUGCCGCGUGUGUGAAGAAGGUCUUCGGGUUGUAAAGCACUUUAAGUUGGGAGGCGUUACCAGCAGAAUAAGCACCGGCUAACUUCGUGCCAGCCGCCGCGGUAAUAC